rnacentral:rRNA from 1 species
GACGAGGGAUCCUAGCGUUGUUCGGAAUCAUUGGGCGUAAAGCGGGUGUAGGUGGCUAUAUAAGUCAGGUGUGAAAGCCCGGGGCUCAACCUCGGAAGUGCAUUUGAUACUGCAUAGCUUGAGUGCGGGAGAGGCUAUUAGAAUUCCAGGUGUAGUGGUGAAAUACGUAGAUAUCUGGAGGAAUACCGGAGGCGAAGGCGGAUGGCUGGCCCGACACUGACACUCAGACCCGAAAGCGUGGGGAUCAAACAGG